rnacentral:rRNA from 1 species
UACGAAGGGGGCUAGCGUUGCUCGGAAUUACUGGGCGUAAAGCGCACGUAGGCGGCUUCUUAAGUCGGUGGUGAAAUCCUGGAGCUCAACUCCAGAACUGCCUUCGAUACUGGGAAGCUAGAGUCCGGAAGAGGCGAGUGGAAUUCCUGGUGUAGCGGUGAAAUGCGCAGAUAUCAGGAGGAAACACCAAUGGCGAAGGCAGCUCGCUGGGACGGUACUGACGCUGAGACGCGAAAAGCGUGGGGAGCAAACAGG